AAAAGAUAAAAAAGUGUGAUUGGUCAACCACCUUGGGAGCGUGGCAGAGCUGCAAAUUAACAGAAAACUGGGUUCGGUUUUCUUCUCGGCAACGCUUUUGAUUCUAAAAGCCAAAACUAUCCAUUCAUGGCUGAUCGAGGGUUUGGUCAUCCUCAUUUGGUUCCCACGAAUAGUUGCAGAAAUGGGUGUGAAGGGAAUUUCUGCGACGGGGGUUCCGCUAGAGAAGAUGAUAAAGCACGUGAAAAUGGAGAUGGCCCCGACGUCAUUUUGGGUUUGGACGGUGGUACCACUUCUACUGUCUGUGUAUGCUUGCCACUGCUUCCAUUGAUGGAGAACCCCAAUAACCUCCCUGACCCGCUUCCUCUUCUCGCUCGCGCUGUCAGCGGUUGCUCUAACUAUAAUAGCGUUGGAGAAAAUGCUGCCAAGGAAACACUGGAGCAGGUUAUUACAGAGACCCUUAAAAAAUCUGGUUCAAACUGGUCUGCUGUUCGAGCUGUUUGUUUAGGUGUCUCUGGUGUUAACCAUCCAACUGAUCAGGAGAUGAUACUGAUUUGGCUAAGGGAAAUAUUCCCUUCGCAUGUUAAAGUAUAUGUUCAAAAUGAUGCUGUCGCAGCUUUAGCAAGUGGGACCAUGGGAAAGCUUCAUGGAUGUGUAUUGGUUGCUGGUACAGGGAGCAUUGCCUAUGGCUUUUCUGAAGAUGGCAAAGAGGCUCGUGCUGCGGGUGGUGGACCUAUCUUAGGUGAUUGGGGAAGUGGUUAUGGGAUUGCUGCACAGGCAUUAACUGCAGUAAUAAGGGCUUAUGAUGGUCGAGGUUUGCAGACAAUGCUUACAAGUAGAAUUCUGAAGGCUCUUGGUCUUUCUUCUCCUGAUGAAAUUAUUGGGUGGACUUAUGAAGAUCGAUCAUGGGCUCGCAUUGCAGCACUAGUUCCAGAAGUGGUAUCAUGUGCAGAAGGUGGAGAUCAAAUUGCACAUGAUAUCCUAACUGAGGCUAUCAAGGAAUUAGCUCUCAGUGUUAAGGCUGUUGUUGAAAGGCUCCGCUUGUGUGGUGAAGAUAAUACUGGCUCAUUUCCUGUUGUGAUGGUUGGUGGUGUCCUUGAAACCAAGACAACUUGGGAUAUAGGAAACAAAGUUGUGGACUGUAUCCGGAAAUUCUUCCCUAAUGCUCAGCCAAUACAACCAAAGGUGGAGCCUGCUAUUGGGGCAGCAUUGUUGGGUUUCAAUUUCUUGAUGAAAGAAUCAGAAGGAAACAACCACAGCUAACAUUUGUUCAUAGAGCUGAAAGUUAUAGAAGAAGUUCAAAAGAAAGAAGCCAAGAUUAUAACUCGAUUUCUUAUGUUUGCGGUGGAGCCCUUGAAAAGCUGGAAACAAGUCAUUGAUUAGGGGAGGGGGGACAGGGGCAAAAAUGCCAUCACAGACACACUUGUUGACAGAGAGAAAGACAGACUUUUCAAAUAAUAUUUUUCUGGGAACCAUAGGAUUUCUCUGUCUGUUGUGAGUAGACUAAAUGAGACAAAUCCAGUACCAGAAUAGACUACAAAGUACAACAUUUUAAAAUAUAUUUAACUCAGAACCAACUUUCACCUGUAUUUGCAGUAAUCAUUCCAUACAAGGACAUUUUUGUACUUUA